rnacentral:rRNA from 1 species
AGUGAACGCUGGCGGUAGGCCUAACACAUGUAAGUCGAACGGCAGCACAGUAAGAGCUUGCUCUUACGGGUGGCGAGUGGCGGACGGGUGAGGAAUACAUCGGAAUCUACUUUUUCGUGGGGGAUAACGUAGGGAAACUUACGCUAAUACCGCAUACGACCUACGGGUGAAAGCAGGGGAUCUUCGGACCUUGCGCGAUUGAAUGAGCCGAUGUCGGAUUAGCUAGUUGGCGGGGUAAAGGCCCACCAAGGCGACGAUCCGUAGCUGGUCUGAGAGGAUGAUCAGCCACACUGGAACUGAGACACGGUCCAGACUCCUACGGGAGGCAGCAGUGGGGAAUAUUGGACAAUGGGCGCAAGCCUGAUCCAGCCAUACCGCGUGGGUGAAGAAGGCCUUCGGGUUGUAGAGCCCUUUUGUUGGGAAAGAAAAGCAGCAGGUUAAUACCCCGCUGUUCUGACGGUACCCAAAGAAUAAGCACCGGCUAACUUCGUG